CUCUAAGGUCCUGGAAGCACUGCUACGUCUGUCAGCCCUAGGGGGCUCUGAAGGGUCAAUGGAUUACUUUGCCUGGGACACAGUAGACACUCAGGGCAUUGGAGCUGUGAUCAUCACCGAAUGUCUAGGUGUGCCGGCAUUAUGCUAAAUGAAGGGAUAGAAAAGAUUGGGUGGAUUUUACUUGUUUGGAGUUGCUUCAUGCAUUUUCGAACCUGUGGUAGGAGGCAGACUAAUGCUCUCACCUGCCCCAAGGAGGUCCCAGCCCUGCUCUCUAGAAGCUGUGAUGAAGGUUUUGCAGCCGUAGGGUCUGGGGCCCAGAAGAAGGAGUGGAUCCUGAUUGGAUUGUUUAUCAGGAUAACCUCGUCACCUUGGCACAGAAUUGAUGAGGAAUAGGAGAGUGUAAGGAAGUCAGCACAAGUGUCAUUCUCAUUAGAGGUAUAAUUCAGAAAUGGGUUUGUAACCUAAACUGAGCCCACAAGAAACAAAGAGAGAUUUGCGGCAGGCUUUUCCACUCUCAUGAGCUUCUCUCCAGAAACGACCUUCCCUUCUACUGGACACUGUCAUCUGAGAGGCAAGCCCAAUAUAAGGGAAUCUCUGCUGCAAGAUGAAAGCACAGA
ensembl:lncRNA